rnacentral:rRNA from 1 species
AUAUCAAUAAGCGGAGGAAAAGAAACCAACAGGGAUUACCUCAGUAACGGCGAGUGAAGCGGUAAGAGCUCAAAUUUGAAAGCUGGCUCCUUCGGGGUCCGCAUUGUAAUUUGCAGAGGAUGUUUCGGGAGCAGCCCCCAUCUAAGUGUCCUGGAACGGACCGUCAUAGAGGGUGAGAAUCCCGUAUGGGAUGGGGUGUCUGCGCCCAUGUGAAACUCCCUCGACGAGUCGAGUCGUUUGGGAAUGCAGCUCUAAAUGGGUGGUAAAUUUCAUCUAAAGCUAAAUACCGGCUGGAGACCGAUAGCGCACAAGUA